GAGAAAAAUAAACCUUUCCUCCUUUAUCUUUGGCUGUCAAGUAUUUUGUAUCAGCAAUGAGAAAAGUAACUAAUACAUCCCCUAAAGCCAUCAAGUCCUUAAUAGUAAACUCCUCCUGUUGCACAGUAAGGACUUCAAUGAAGUUAUCUUCUUGCAGAUCCAACUUCACCCUCUUGUUAAGGGACACUAAGUUGUUGAAGACCCCUUUGGAUUCCUUUCACACCUUCUCAAGACCAUGAACUGCAUGCACAAACUGAAUGCAAAGUUUCUUUCCAACCCUAUUCAUGGUGACAGUCAAUACCUCACACCAAGCAAAGUCAAGGUCUUUUGUGGCCUUGUACAUGUUAUAGUCCUUCCAAAAUUGUUGGUAGGUUGAUUCUGUUUCAUCAGUUGCCUUCACUGCCUGAUGAAAAAUAUGCCAUGAAUAAUAUUUCAUAAAAGUUGCAAUAACUUGUGGUUCAUAGGUUGGAUAAGCACAUAGUAUUUGAUGGCAGAUGCACUACUUAGUGUGAAGAAAGUUGUCCAUGAAUUGGGAGUGAUCUGGUCCACUGUUAGGCAGCAAAGGACUGUUGAAUAGGAUAUCAUUCUCCAAAGAUAUUUCUCUAUCUCUGACAGAAAGUGGUGGAAAAACCAAUCCUGGAAAAUGGUCUGAGUAACCCAAGAUUUGGAGUUACUCUUCCACUCAACAGGUAGAGCCUCUUUGGAUAUGUUUUGGAAGGUUUUUGGGUUUUCUGAAUGGUAAACUAGGAGAAGCUUUAGAUUCUUUUCACUGGAAGUGUUGGCACCAAAUAGCAAAUGAAGUCUGUCUUUUGCUGCUUUGGAGCUUAUCAUCACCUUUUCCCUUUUAGUGGAGUAACUUUGUUCUGUCAUCUUUUUUCCAGAUAAUCCUAUCUCAUGGAUGUUAAAAACCUGUCAGGGUAAAUUACCACCUUCCUCAAUAAUUUCUCUAAGUUUUGCUGAAAAUGCUCAGGCAGUUGUGGUAUCUGCAUUGGCAACCUCAUCACUUAAUGUUACUUUAUGAAUGUUGGUUUGAACCUUGAAUCUGUUAAACCAUCCAUGCAUGGCAGUAAAGAUACAUCCUGUUGAGCUGUUUUUUCUUCAAGUCUUCACAGAGGCUUGGAGCACUAUCUUCAAUAAGCAUCAAGCUGAGACAGAAUCAAUGCUGAUACUGAUCAGGCAUUCACACAGUGAGUAGUUUCUCCAUCUCCUCUAUCACUUUGCCAUGCUUUUUUGGAUAUUAUUGUUGACUUCAUUGGCAGAGCAGACUUUGCAUGUUGCAUGAUCUUGUCACAUAGUUGACAAUUCAUGUUAUAAGAAUGAGCAACAUCUACUACCUAGGGCUGAUCAAACCCUCAGCUAUCUUUUGGAAGGAAUGAUGAGGAAUAAAAAGAAAGAGACAGAGACAAUUUUCAAGACAUAAAGGGGGCACUGGGACAAGACCUGCCUCUAACAAACAGAUUUGAACAAAACUCCACAGUUGGUCCACUUUUUUUAGCCAGUGAGAAGCACAGGCAGAGUGGUAGAAUGCAUUUCAUGGAACAACAACUACAGAUAAUGGAUUAAUUAAUGAGGAACCAGAUUUUCUCUACACAAAAAUGCUUGUGUAUUGACAAGUGUCCUCAGCACAUGGUAUUGCUUUAGGAGUAUGGGUGUGGGGAGGGGUUAAUGGCAUUCCACUCAUAGCCAGGGGGCAUGCAGCCUUCCUGAUGUUCAGGUGUAAUUUCGAAUAUUCUGGAGGCAAGAUAAUACUGACCUAGAUACUAUGAGAUCAGAUUUAUGUAGUCUAGUCCCUAAAAGUUCCUCCUUUUUGAUUUUCUAUUUGCAUAGUUGAAAUACCUUGACUUGAGGUUUAAUGGCAUCUAGACAUUUUCUGGUUUGGCUUCCCCUGUGGCAGACUAUAGUAGAAAUACAGAAAUACAAGACAGAAACACAUUAAUAUAAUCAAGGCAGUAUAAAAAUCCAAAAUGGGCUUUAAGAUAGUUCCAUGGAUUAAGCUGAUCAAGAAUAUCAGCAAAUUGAUCUCAAUUCUGAGUUUGCUUAUCAAAAUUUGAGUCCACUGAAUCAUAAAUAUUACUUCAUUUUGUAAUGCUUCUAUAUCAAUAGUUAUAUUACUAUGCAUAGCACCCUGUAUGUACUUUUUUAUAUGCUUCCAAGGAUGGGUAGACUGGUUAUACAUGAGUGGAGUUAUACAAUACUAAUAUUAAAAUAACACUGAAGACCUUGUUGUAAUUGUAGGCUUUCUGUUUGAUCUCCCAUCCACAUAACAGUGGUCUCUAAAACACUGACUUGUGACUACAAUUUUGCAUGAGUAGAAUGUUGUAUAUUCCAAGACUUGUCCACAGUUCUGGCCCAAUUAUUUACAAAAUGAGCAGUCUGUAUAGAGUGAGCGAGAGAUACAGAAGAUACAGCAACACUAGAAAUUAAUAAUACUGAACAAACAAUUCCAGCAAUAAUCAAUCUAACAUCUUUUUUGUUGAGUGAACAAGGCAAUCAGUCAGUGAUUGAAAUAGGUAAAUAGUAGAAGUAUUGGCCCAUGGCUCAAUGAGAUUUACUGGCACCCAUACUCCAGACAUUCACCCUAAGACUAGCCCUUGUUAACUAGGGCUCCAGUUGAUACACAAUAGCUCAAUGUAGACUCUGCAUGUUAAUGAGGUGUGACUCGAUUCAAUAAUCUCAUAUAUAAAGACAUAAGGGUUGUAAGUAUAUAUGGAAAACUGUGCAGUCUUAUUUUUAUCAAUUAGAAUAUUUGAGGUAUUUGUAGUAAAUUUAGACAUGUGCCCUUUCUAUGGCUGAUCACUAUAAUAAGGAAGGGCCAGUUUCCAAAAUAUUUCCUGAAGGGGUCCAGGUGUGCCACUGAUAAUGGCCUGUGGAAAGACAGGCCUAAAAGUGGACUCAUGCCAUUCAAGUCAUCCUUUAGCAUCAGAAUAUAGAAGUUAUUUUUUACACUAGUGAAUAUCAAUACCAUUUGACUAUAUGCCAAGCUGAACAACAUUGUCUCUCCCUACCAAUUUUGUGCUGGGCCCCAAUCUACAAACUCAAAUUGAGACAAGACGGGGGACAGAGACAGGAGAAGACAAUCUUAAUAGCUUGUGAAUGGGACAGUUGAAAUUCUUUUGUUAAGGGUCUCAUGUUUUGGUAAGAAUAUGAGUGAGAACAGCUUGCCAAAUCAAAGGAAGUAAUAUAAGACUCAGAAGAAUCAGCCUUUUGAUUACCAUUGACUAAAGGUUCCAGUAUGUUAGAAUUUGAUCCAAUAUGUUCAAUAUAAAAGGGAGCAAGUGAUUUUGGAUUGCCUGCUGCAAUCUAAGGAAUAGAUUAAACAAGAGAGUGUCUAAAGUGGAUUUCAAAGUAGCAUUUUCUAGCUGCACAGACUUUCUGUUCUGCAUAGACUGAAUCACUAACGAUAUUUACAGGGAUCAGCUUACUAAGCUCUAUAAUAUACAAAUUAGCAGUUAUUUCUAACAUAAGGUUAGAAUAACAUGUUGCAAAUCCUUAAUCCUGAUAGCUGAUUUUCUUUUUGAGGAACCACCUGUAAAAUAAGUCUGUACAUCAGAAAUUGGGUUUACUCAUAUAAUCUGAGGUAUUAUACAUGAGUAUCUUAGAAAAAAAUGGAAAGACAGGGUCACUACAAAAAUGAUUGUCAAUUUGCCCUAUAAAGUUAGUGAAAGCAGUGUGCCAAUAAACAACUUGUAAAGAAACUGAAUAUUGAGACAAUUCUAUGUGUAAUAUAAUCUGAGAUGUAUCAUUACCAAACAAUUAAUUAUAGCAAGUUCUCCCAGCCACUACUACUCUUGCCAUUUGUUCAGUAUAUAACUGUAGAGUUUUUACCAUCUGAUUAGGAAGGUGUAGUCAUUCAAUCAGGAACAAUGGAGAGCUGGAAAAUUGUUCUAAGAGCCCCGUAGGAGAAUAAGGAGUAUCCAAAACAUAGAGAAUAAAAGAAUGGUGAUCAUUAAUCUGAUAUACUUGUUCUUCCUGUAACAUUCUUUCUACCAACUAUAAUUCUUCCUGUGCUUCAGGAGUUAAUUAUCAAGGGGAAUUAAUCUGAGGAUCAUUAGUAAAGUAUUAUUGACUUGUUUUAAUUGAUAUGUGGCAAUACUUAAUUUAGGCUGAAUCCAAUUAAUGUCGAAUAAUUUUUGAAAAUCAUUUAAAGUCAAUAAAAAUUCUCUUAUUUUAGUUUUGCGAUAUCACUAUCUGUUCUGUAAGUAAAGUUCCCAAGUAGAGAUAGGGACCGGAAGUCUGAACUUUGUCAACAGCUAUGCAAAGACCAUGACUUUUAAGGUCCCUCUUUACUACAAAGCAUGUAGCUGUGUUUUUGUUGCCAUGGACUGCAAAAUGUCAUCCAUAUAAUGAGUAACAUAAGCUUGAGGAUAUUUCUUUCAAGCGGAUUGUAACGCUUGAUUUACAACAUGCUGACACAGAGUGGAGCUGUUUAUCAUUCUCUGAGGUAAAACUGUCCAUUGAUAUCUGCUCAUAGGUUUUUUAAAGUUAAUACUGGGUACAGAGAAAGCAAAAUACUGGUUAUCAGGUGGGUGUAAGGGAAUUGUAAAGAACAAUCUUUAAGAUCAAUAACAAUCAACUGGCUGCAGGAGAUGAUGGACCAGGCUGUAAAGAAGCAUUUACUGCUCUUCAAUCUUGUAAUAAUCUCCAGUUUCUAGAUUCUUCAUGUUCUUUGGUACAUGAACACAGGAGUGUUCCAGGGCCUGGUAGAUGGUUCUAAGAGCCCUAAUUGAAUUUGUUCUUGCACUAAAGAAUGUAAAUGGUUUAGUUUCUCUUUAUGUAGGGGGCCACUGAUCCAUCCAGAUCUGGACAUCUGUUUUCCAUUGAAAUAGCAAAGCUGCCCUGGGGGGAGAAGCAUCAGUGACCCUAUCAAAAAUGACACUGAUAUCAUAUGCCUGCCUGGUGUAAUCUAAGAGUAACUGAUUACGGGUCAGGAUUACCUUGCAAAUUUUUUCCUAAACAAAAUUCUCAUUGACAUCCCAUCUUUUUUGUAAUUUGUUUUGCCACAUUAAAAGGUUCAUUACUCAGCAUAAUUCUCCAUUGCUUUAAGAGAUCUCUUCCCCAUAAAUUUACUGAUAUGGGAGCCACAUAACAUUGAAUGGUCCUGGCUUGAUUUUCUGGCCCUAAGUAAGGUAGGGGAGCUGUGCUUUGCAAUACUUGUUGAGGUGAACCAAGCCUCACUAAUGAAGUAGCAACAGCAUUAGUGGGUCAGAGGGGAGGCCCAAUGCCACAACAGACACAUCAGCUCCUGUAUCUAGCAAUCCUUCAAAAUACUUGCCGUUUAUUUUUAUUUUUCACAUAUGUCUUCCCUCACCUAAUUCUUGGAUAAAAUAAAUUUCUUUGCUUGGCUCAUUACCAAAGCCCUCUUCCUUUCUUUGCUACUUCAUAUUUGUAUCAAGAGGAGCCCUACUAUAGGAAGAAAUAUCAAUUGAGCAACAUAAUCACCUUGCUCAAAAACCCAAAUGACCAAAGAAUGAGUCACAACUUGGAUUUAUCCUUUAUAAUCAAAGUCAGUUACCCCAGCCAUCACAGUUAUACUACAUAGUUAUACUAUACACAGUUAUACUACAGUUUAGACUACUUUUACCGAUAAUUAAUCCUGAGGGCUUGGUCCCAGAUCCUUAUAGGCUUAUUUCCCCCCAUAAGUGUUACUUUCUGGACUGCAAGGAGAUCUAAUCCUGUGCUCACUGGAAUUCUGAGAGUGAGUGAAACAAUGUUUUGCCAGGAACCUGGGAUGGAUUGCUGGUCAUUGCCUGUACUGGAAAGGUCUCUGUUGUUUGAAGGGCCCGGAGCUGGUCCUGAUUCUCGGUUCCUGUAAGGGGGGUGCUGUUCUUAUGAUAUUUAGAAUGGCAAUUCUCUGCCCAAUGAUUUCCUUUUUCACACCAACAGUAAAGACCAGGAGUUGGACCAGUAUCUCCCUCUGUAGGAAGCAGAGGCUCCUGAUUUGUCUAAACUGGCUAUGGUAGCAGGGAUGGAGAUAAUUCAUGAGACUAGUCAGGGUUACUCCCAUCGAAUAAGGCUAAACUGGCUAUUGACAAUGAUUGAAGCUUUGUCCACCCAAGUAAUGACCAACACUGGGACCUCAGUAGGGGUCCAUUUCAUUGAGUGAUGAGCCAAAUAGCUGAAUGUAGGCUUAUUGUCUUGAAGCACUUUCAUCAUGAAAACGUCAGCAUUAUGUAGAGACAGGGACAGAGACUUAAUUCUCCAUAGGAACAUUCUUUCCAUGUAGGCAACAUGUCUGCUAAAACUAAAAUUCAUGAACUCACAGCAUACAUUAUCCCUUGUCAGCACAGCUUAUAAACAAGGAAUUCAUUUCACAGCUCAAGAAAGUACAGCAGUGGGCUCAUGCUCAGGGGUUACACUCCUCUUAUCAUGAGCCUUACCAUUCUGGAGCUAUUGGCUUAACAUAAAGAUGAAAUGGUCUUUUGAGCUCUAUAUCAGUGACUUACAGGAAGCAACACCUUGAAGUUAUUUAUCUGAAUCAUCAUUUAACAUAUGGCUUUAUUCUCUAAUAACCAGAAUAUGUAAGAAUGAAGGAGUAAAAAUUUAAGUGAUAUCACUUACCAUUAUGCCUAGUGAAAAACUAACAAUAUUUUUUUCUGCUUUAAAUACUUUAUGCUUGAAUAUUUUAGCCAUUUCAGUUCUAGAAGAAGGGACACUUCAUGAAGAGGAAAUAAAAUGAUCAAUUGCCCUGGGAAUUCAGAAUUUUGCCUGGCACUUGACCAAUUUUGGUUCCUCUUUGAAUUGAAAGAAAAAGAAUAAUGUUGAAGUGUCAGCUGGGAUGAUUGAACCUGAGUACCAAGGAAAUUCAACUUCCAUUCUCUACGGGAAGCAAGGACAGAAAUGACAGCCAUACUUUGGAGAUAAAGUUUGAUAUAGAACUCUAACUAUUCAAAUUGAUUAAAGACUACUAACUGCCCAGAAUGAAGUUUCAUCAAUGAACAUUUGAGUCAUCAUGCACAGUGUGACCCUUAUGUGCACAGGUCGAUGCAUCCCUGAAAUACAGGUAAGAAUGGAAUGAAGAAAAAAUAGAGCACAUUUUUAAUAUAGGAAAGAGGCUCUGUGAAUCACAUUAUGCAUGUCCAACUUUGUCCUGGAGAACACGAGGGAGGACCUGGGAUGACUGGACUCACUCACAUCAGGUAUGAACCCUUAAUCACAUUGAAUCACUCACUUGUGCUUCAGAGAGGAACUCUACAUUUGUGCAAUGCAGUAAAAACUGACACUUGUAUCAUAUGCUGUUUGAGUGUAAAAAUUAGUUAAGAUUGUGACUUAUAAGUAAAUAUCAUAACAUAGUUACAUAAAAUUCUUGUUUUUUCUAAAUAUUAUUUUCACCAGACUGGACUGGCAAACUCACAUCUAAUCUGGGUAUUGAAAUUUUGCUGCUUCUAGUCAACAGAGCUCUCUGUAUAGCAAAAAGAUAUGCAAAUAGGGCCUCCUUCUGCUGAUGUAAACCAGCCCAGCCCUGACCCUGCAGCUCUGCAGAGGAGCACAGUCCUGGAUGCUCAGCUGUUCCCACUUGGUGAUCAAGACUGAACACAAUCACCUCACCAUGGAGCUUGCACUGAAUGUCCAGAGUGAAGUGCAGCUGAUGGAGUCCAGGGGAGGGUUGGUGCAGUCUGGGGAGUCCCUGAGACUCUCCUGUGCAGCCUCUGGAUUUAUCUUCAGUGACUACUGGAUGAGCUGGGUUGGCCAGGCUCCAGGUGUCCAGUAUGAGGGGCAGCUGGUGGAGACUGGAGAAGGAUUGGUGAAGCCUGGGUGGUCCCUGAAACUCUCCUGUGCAGCCUCAGAAUUCACCUUCAGUGAACACUGAAGGAGCACUGGGGAGGUGCUAGAGUGGAUUUCAUCUAUCAAUGAGGGCCGUGAUAGUGUAUACUACACAGGCUCUGUAAAGGGUCGAUUCACCAUCUCUAGAGAUAACAGCAAGAACACGCUGUAUCUGCAAAUGAACAGCCUGAGAACCGAGGACACGGCCGUGUAUUACUGUGCAAGAGACACAGUGAGGGGACCUCAGUGUGAGCCCAGGCACAACCCUCCCUUCAGAGCCUCCUAGAAACAGCAGGGAGAAACCUGGACACACAGAACACAGUGUGUAACCUAGGAGCAGAGAAAGGUUCAGGUUGAAUUUCCUCUCAGGGUCAGUGACUUCCUCCACAUGUAAUAGUUUGUACCUAGAGACUGCAUUCAUGAUUCUGUCCUUACCACUGGGGUCUCUGAGUUAGAAACGUUUAUUUUAAUGGAGCACAUUUUCACAUGCAUAAACUCAAUUUAUCAUGUAUGAUGGUAAAGAUGACUCUGUUAUGGCCAUGAGGACCAGAUGAUGAAGAAGCUCAGGGGAAACUGGUAAAAUCUGCAUGGAAGUUGGAAUCCACAGUGAGAAGUGUGAGCCCAGAAGCAAACCUAAGCUCUGGGGUGAUCAUGAUUAACAUCAUAUGCUUGCCGGGGAUUUAGCUCAGUGGUUUUGCCGCCUGCCUCACAAGCGUAAGGACCAGAGUUCAAUCCACGGUACCAAAAAAAAGAGAUAUGUUUGGUUACACCAGAAGACAUGCAGUCCCCCACAAAGGAUGGGAGAAUCACCAUGAAACACCUGGUAUAAUCAGGAUGCUCAAGAGCCAGCCCUUCCUGGGUCCCAACAAAGGAGCAGGUGUACUGAGGACUUGAGGAGACUUUACCUGCUGAGACCCUGGAUUCUCCUUUCUCUUCAUCCCCCAUAAAGUCAUCUCUCCCUUUUCAUUUUAAUGGAACAGCAAUGCAUUCUGUGUCUCCUUCAUUAUAUCUUCUCAAGCAAGUUUAUACCACCCAACAUUUUAUAACUGUAAACAUACUGAUUGUUUUAACAAUUACAUUGAAACAUUUAGGCACCAAUUAGCUCGCCAAACAAAAAUGAACAGUUUAAUCUUUGUCAGUAUAUUCCACUAAAAAUAACCCUGCAAUCAUCAAUUCAAUGCCAUGAUAAGCUAUUUAUAAACUCCUAAAGGAACACUUCACUUAUUAAUUAAUGAUUUCCAGUCUCGCUCUUCCCUCUCCCUAUCCCAGUCAAGGAAAUAACAAAUCUAUUUUUGUUGUCAAUGAUUUCCCAACUCUGAAAAAUUUUCAUGUCUUCUCAAAUGAAAUUUAGUCCUUGCAUGUAAGUUCAUUUGGUUAGCAAAAUAAUUCCAGUUUUAUAAAAUUUGUACCAUGUUUAUAUGAAUAGAAGUAAAAUUUGCAUAAAGUAACAGUAG